rnacentral:rRNA from 1 species
AUGCCUUUUCCUCCUAAACCAUCCAAGACAAAGGAUGAUCAGGAUUUUGAGAGUUUUGCUGAAAUGAUUAGACCUAUUUUCUUAUGCAUACGCUUAACUCAUAUGCUUAAAACAAACCCUUAUGCUAAAUACAUGAAAGAUAUCAUUACAAAUAAAAGGAAAAUACCUGAAGCUGAAAUUUCCACCAUGCUUGCUAACUAUACCUUUAAGGCUGGAAUACCUAAGAAACUUGGUGAUCCCGGAGUACCCACUAUACCAUGCUCCAUUAAAAGAAAUUAUGUUAAAACUGCCUUAUGUGAUUUAGGAGCCGGUGUUAGUGUUAUGCCUCUUUCCUUGUACCGUAGACUUGAAUUAAGUAAGUUGACACCUACUGAGAUAUCCUUGCAAAUUGCUGAUAAAUCAACUGCUAUACCUGUCGGCAUUUGUGAGGACGUGCCUAUUGUUAUUGCGAAUGUUACUAUCUUAACAGACUUUGUCAUUCUUGAUAUCCCUGAGGACGACAGUAUGUCGAUCAUCCUUGGUAGACCCUUUUUAAAUACUGCAGGUGCUGUUAUUGAUUGCAACAAAGGCAAUGUCACCUUUCAUGUUAAUGAAAAUGAGCAUACGGUACAUUUUCCAAGAAAACAACCUCAAGUUCACAGUAUAAACUAUAUUGAGAAAAUUCCAUCAAUUAUAUUUGGAGGUUUUGAAUUUCCUCUUCCUACUGCAAAGAAAAAGUAUGAUAUUCUUAUUAUUGGGGAUGUUCAUAUCCCCGUUGAGGUAACCUAG